CGGGACACGUGGUAUCCUGUCUGAAUAUGGGGGGACCAUCCUCCAAGGCUAAAUACUCCUGACUGACCGAUAGUGAACCAGUACCGUGAGGGAAAGGCGAAAAGAACCCCGGCGAGGGGAGUGAAAAAGAACCUGAAACCGUGUACGUACAAGCAGUGGGAGCCUCUUUAUGGGGUGACUGCGUACCUUUUGUAUAAUGGGUCAGCGACUUAUAUUCUGUAGCAAGGUUAACCGAAUAGGGGAGCCGAAGGGAAACCGAGUCUUAACUGGGCGUUAAGUUGCAGGGUAUAGACCCGAAACCCGGUGAUCUAGCCAUGGGCAGGUUGAAGGUUGGGUAACACUAACUGGAGGACCGAACCGACUAAUGUUGAAAAAUUAGCGGAUGACUUGUGGCUGGGGGUGAAAGGCCAAUCAAACCGGGAGAUAGCUGGUUCUCCCCGAAAGCUAUUUAGGUAGCGCCUCGUGAAUUCAUCUCCGGGGGUAGAGCACUGUUUCGGCAAGGGGGUCAUCCCGACUUACCAACCCGAUGCAAACUGCGAAUACCGGAGAAUGUUAUCACGGGAGACACACGGCGGGUGCUAACGUCCGUCGUGAAGAGGGAAACAACCCAGACCGCCAGCUAAGGUCCCAAAGUCAUGGUUAAGUGGGAAACGAUGUGGGAAGGCCCAGACAGCCAGGAUGUUGGCUUAGAAGCAGCCAUCAUUUAAAGAAAGCGUAAUAGCUCACUGGUCGAGUCGGCCUGCGCGGAAGAUGUAACGGGGCUAAACCAUGCACCGAAGCUGCGGCAGCGACACUAUGUGUUGUUGGGUAGGGGAGCGUUCUGUAAGCCUGCGAAGGUGUACUGUGAGGUAUGCUGGAGGUAUCAGAAGUGCGAAUGCUGACAUAAGUAACGAUAAAGCGGGUGAAAAGCCCGCUCGCCGGAAGACCAAGGGUUCCUGUCCAACGUUAAUCGGGGCAGGGUGAGUCGACCCCUAAGGCGAGGCCGAAAGGCGUAGUCGAUGGGAAACAGGUUAAUAUUCCUGUACUUGGUGUUACUGCGAAGGGGGGACGGAGAAGGCUAUGUUGGCCGGGCGACGGUUGUCCCGGUUUAAGCGUGUAGGCUGGUUUUCCAGGCAAAUCCGGAAAAUCAAGGCUGAGGCGUGAUGACGAGGCACUACGGUGCUGAAGCAACAAAUGCCCUGCUUCCAGGAAAAGCCUCUAAGCAUCAGGUAACAUCAAAUCGUACCCCAAACCGACACAGGUGGUCAGGUAGAGAAUACCAAGGCGCUUGAGAGAACUCGGGUGAAGGAACUAGGCAAAAUGGUGCCGUAACUUCGGGAGAAGGCACGCUGAUAUGUAGGUGAAGCGACUUGCUCGUGGAGCUGAAAUCAGUCGAAGAUACCAGCUGGCUGCAACUGUUUAUUAAAAACACAGCACUGUGCAAACACGAAAGUGGACGUAUACGGUGUGACGCCUGCCCGGUGCCGGAAGGUUAAUUGAUGGGGUUAGCGGUAACGCGAAGCUCUUGAUCGAAGCCCCGGUAAACGGCGGCCGUAACUAUAACGGUCCUAAGGUAGCGAAAUUCCUUGUCGGGUAAGUUCCGACCUGCACGAAUGGCGUAAUGAUGGCCAGGCUGUCUCCACCCGAGACUCAGUGAAAUUGAACUCGCUGUGAAGAUGCAGUGUACCCGCGGCAAGACGGAAAGACCCCGUGAACCUUUACUAUAGCUUGACACUGAACAUUGAGCCUUGAUGUGUAGGAUAGGUGGGAGGCUUUGAAGUGUGGACGCCAGUCUGCAUGGAGCCGGCCUUGAAAUACCACCCUUUAAUGUUUGAUGUUCUAA
rnacentral:rRNA from 1 species